rnacentral:rRNA from 1 species
CCUACGGGUGGCAGCAGUGGGGAAUAUUGCGCAAUGGGCGAAAGCCUGACGCAGCGACGCCGCGUGAGGGAUGAAGGUCUUCGGAUCGUAAACCUCUGUCAGCAGAGAAGAACGGUCACUGUGCUAAUCAGCAGUGAAUUGACGGUACCUGCAAAGGAAGCACCGGCUAACUCCGUGCCAGCAGCCGCGGUAAUAUGGAGGGUGCGAGCGUUAUUCGGAAUUACUGGGCGUAAGGCGCUCGUAGGCGGUAUGGCAAGUCAAGGGUGAAAUCCCCGCGCUCAACGUGGGAACUGCCUUUGAAACUGGCAAACUGGAGUGUGUGAGAGGAUAGUGGAAUUCCAGGUGUAGGAGUGAACUCCGUAGAGAUCUGGAGGAACAUCAGUGGCGAAGGCGACUAUCUGGCACAUAACUGACGCUGAGGAGCGAAAGCGUGGGGAGCAAACAGGAUUAGAUACCCCUGUAGUC